rnacentral:sRNA from 1 species
GGAUACGUCGCCAUCUUGGAUCCGCGGGACAAGAAAAUUCAUGCGAGGGAGACGUGGUGGGCGGUCCUUCCUGUGACACGACCCUUGAGUGACAGUUCUAUUUGAUUGCCUCCGGUACUGUGAGGAAAGGACACGACUCUAUGGUGAGGACUGAUGGACAUACAUUAUCUGAGAAAAGAAACUACCAGGUGACAAACAGCAUGUUUGGUGCUUCAAGAAAGAAGUUUGUAGAGGGGGUCGACAGUGACUACCAUGACGAAAACAUGUACUACAGCCAGUCUUCUAUGUUUCCACAUCGGUCAGAAAAAGAUUAUGUCUGGAUUUGGAAUGAACAGGAAUCAGGCAUUUGGAAUGAAUAACUCCUUAUCAAGUAACAUUUUUAAUGGAACAGACGGAAGUGAAAAUGUGACAGGAUUGGACCUUUCAGAUUUCCCAGCAUUAGCAGACCGAAACAGGA